rnacentral:rRNA from 1 species
UACAGAGGUCUCAAGCGUUGUUCGGAUUCAUUGGCGUAAGGGUGCGUAGCGGCGCGGUAAGUCGGUGUGAAUCUUGGAGCUUAACUCCGAACUGCAUCGAUACUGCCGUGCUUGAGGACUGAGAGGAGACUGAAUUACGUGUAGCGUGAAUGCGUAGAUAUCGUAGAGACAGUGCGAGCGUCUCUGACAGUCUGACGCUGAGCACGAGUCAGGGAGCAACGGAUAGACCUGUAGUCAGACAGUCUCUGCUACGUA